rnacentral:rRNA from 1 species
UAAGGAAUAUUGGACAAUGGAGGCAACUCUGAUCCAGCCAUCCCGCGUGUAGGAAGACUGCCCUAUGGGUUGUAAACUACUUUUAGAUAGGAAGAACGGCAGAUACUUGUAUUUGUAUGACGGUACUAUCAGAAUAAGCACCGGCUAACUCCGUGCCAGCAGCCGCGGUAAUACGGAGGGUGCAAGCGUUAUCCGGAAUCACUGGGUUUAAAGGGUGCGUAGGCGGCCUGGUAAGUCAGAGGUGAAAUGCACGAGCUUAACUGGUGAAUUGCCUUUGAAACUACCAAGCUAGAAUUAUGUUGAGGUCAGCGGAAUGAGUCAUGUAGCGGUGAAAUGCAUAGAUAUGACUUAGAACACCAAUUGCGUAGGCAGCUGGCUGGGCAUAUAUUGACGCUGAGGCACGAAAGCGUGGGGAGCGAACAGG